GGGCCGUUAGCUCAGCUUGGAGGAGCGUUCGACUGAUAAUCGAAAGGUCGAGGGUUCAAAUCCCUUUCGGCCCA
rnacentral:tRNA from 1 species